GGGGUACAUUACCACAUUACCAUGGAUUGGAAUGCUACAGAGAAGAUUAGCAUGGCACCUGCGCAAGGAUGACGGGCAAAUUCAUGAAGUGUUCCAUAUUUUU